rnacentral:rRNA from 1 species
CUACGGGCCGCUGCAGUGGGGAAUAUUGGGCAAUGGGCGAAAGCCUGACCCAGCAACGCCGCGUGAUUGAAGAAGGUCUUCGGAUUGUAAAAAUCUGUCCUUGGGGACGAAAAAAAUGACGGUACCCAAGGAGGAAGCCCCGGCUAACUACGUGCCAGCAGCCGCGGUAAUACGUAGGGGGCGAGCGUUGUCCGGAAUUACUGGGCGUAAAGGGUGCGCAGGCGGCGCUUUAAGUCAGAGGUGAAAUACCCAGGCUUAACCUGGGGGGUGCAUUUGAAACUGGAGUGCUUGAGUGCAGGAGAGGAAAGUGGAAUUCCUAGUGUAGCGGUGAAAUGCGUAGAUAUUAGGAGGAACACCAGUGGCGAAGGCGACUUUCUGGACUGUAACUGACGCUGAGGCACGAAAGCGUGGGGAGCAAACAGGAUUAGAUACCCGUGUAGUC